AAAGGGAGACCUAAUUCAGGUAAAAGACGAAAAAAAAGUAGUCGCUACCAAGAAUCAAUCCCAAAAGGUCGGAGCGAGGCGAAAUUGGCUUUCAAACUAGGUUCUGGGUUCAAACAAGACCUGAAUCAGGAACAAGGGCUAUUAGCUCAGGUGGUUAGAGCGCACCCCUGAUAAGGGUGAGGUCCCUGGUUCGAGUCCAGGAUGGCCCACCUGCACAGGUGGCAAAAAGAAAGAAAAGAAGCGAGGAAUCAGCACCUUAUCUUACUUAUAUAGUAAGAGAGAAUGCUGGCUCUGAGUAAAGAGUCCAGAGGAACCUUGAAAACUGCAUAGAGCUAGGUGAAAAAGCCAAAAAAGAAGACCGCAAG
rnacentral:tRNA from 1 species